CAUGGCUCAGAUUGCACCGCUGGGUAACAGCUUAACACAUGUCAAGUCGAGCGGGGAGGUGCUUCGGUAACUGACCUAGCGGCGGACGGGUGAGUAAUGCUUAGGAAUCUGCCAUUUAGUAGGGGGACAACAUUCCGAAAGGAAUGCUAAUACCGCAUACGUCCUACGGGAGAAAGCAGGGGAUCUUCGGACCUCGCGCUCAAGGGGCUGGCCGAUGGCAGAUUAGGUAGUUGGUGGGGUAAAGGCCUACCAAGCCGACGAUCUGUAGCUGGUCUGAGAGGAUGACCAGCCACACUGGAACUGAGACACGGUCCAGACUCCUACGGGAGGCAGCAGUGGGGAAUAUUGCACAAUGGGCGCAAGCCUGAUGCAGCCAUGCCGCGUGUAUGAAGAAGGCCUUCGGGUUGUAAAGUACUUUCAGCGGGGAGGAAGGUGUUGAGGUUAAUAACCUCAGCAAUUGACGUUACCCGCAGAAGAAGCACCGGCUAACUCCGUGCCAGCAGCCGCGGUAAUACGGAGGGUGCAAGCGUUAAUCGGAAUUACUGGAGCGUNAAAGCGCACGCAGAGCGGNNCUGUCAAGUACGGAUGUUGAAAUUCCCCGGGCUCAACCCUGGGAAACUGCAUUNCGAAACUGGGCAGGGCUAGAGUCUU
rnacentral:rRNA from 1 species